GUUUUAAUAGUUUAAAUAAAAAUCAUUGAUCUUGUAAAUCAAAGAUAAAUAAAAUUAUUUUUAAAAUU
rnacentral:tRNA from 1 species